CGUUCGGGUGGCCGCUCUGGCUGUCCGAGGCCGCCGGCGACGCGCUCUACGGCUAGGCGCCCCGAGAGCACAUCGCGGCGGUGAAGAAGGAUGCGUUCGGGUGGCCGCUCUGGCUCUCCGAGGCCGCCGGCAACGCGCUCUGCGGCUGGGCGCCCCUCGGUGCCGACGCCUUCCAGAAGCUCGAGAAGGUGAGGGCAAUCCUUUCCCGCUGUGCGCCGCCUGUGCUUGCUUCUUGUUGUUGCUUCAACGGUGGUAGCAGUAGUUAAUUACAGGAGAAGCUCGGCCUUUUCAUGGGAACCGGAGGUUGUUGGGGAAAGAUCUCGGCUUGCCUUUCUUUGCACCGAUUCGUUCGUUCGUGCUUGUUGUAAGCUAUCGUCGGUCGCGAAAUUCGGCGAGUGAUUUGAGCUCUUGCCUUUUCUGGCUGUCGUAAUUGAGUUGUUAGCGUAUCAUCAUAUCACCUACUAUGUCCUACUCGCACGAGAAGAAAAAGAACUCCUUUUAUUGCUUUCUCUUAGUCGUAGGCAUGAAAGGGAGGAAAUAAAGCAGAUGAUGAUCUCAACACAUAAACAAGCUUUGAGUUAUCUAGAAGUAGGUGUGUCUCUUAAAAAAUGCUGAGAUGAACUACUCAAUUGCUUUUCUUCUGACUUUGAAAAUGCCCUCACAACUCCACUAUUUAUGGUCAUACUUUAUAUGUUGUCCGUGUCACAACUCACAACAACUCGUAAUCCGUAAGGGACGAAUGGGAAGUCAACUUACAUGCGUUCGUAUUGAAUUGGAACACCUGUCAAUGCUAUCUUGCGUGGUAUUUUCAAAGAAGCGAGUUGUCGUGGUUUUUUAAUUAAAACAGUGGGCAGUGUGCAGCAAUGUGACCCUGCCAAACAGAUAAACAACAAUGGGAGACUAGAAAGCAGCAACAUGCAAACACACUAUAAGCUGUUAUAUGACUGCAGUUGGCAUAGCCAAAAUUGACUAAACUUGUAGGGUAACAAAGAUAAUUCAAACAAACAGAGCAUGAGAAGGAAAAAUGAAAGACCGACAAACGCUGCAACCAGCGUACUCCAUUGCCGGGUAAGGUUAGCCAUCAAGCAGCUGCAGAGAGCAACAGGGCAAAAAUAUGUAUGAUUCAUUAGACCAAUAACACAUGGUGUUGUCAAGCUCAAUAUUCAGUAGAAUCAGAAGCUAUCCACAAAUAAGCCCUGGUGUCCGCUCAUGUGUUAUUUCUCAGCUAGAGACCAAAUUCACUGAGUACACAUUUGCACAUACAAUUUACUAUGAAGAAAAUUACAGAUCUGCACAUACAAUUUACUAUCAAGGAAAAUACAUCUGAUGACAACCACCAGGUUUCCGCAGUAUACAUGUCUUGAGUGAUCGCAUAAAUUGAACAGGCCGGAAGGAAUUAAGGCAACGAACCAGGACUGGAGUAAAUAGUAAUACUGCAUUUUGUGCUAUUAAGGAUGCGUGUUCCAUCAGGUGACUUCACAUCAAGAUCGAUUCCAAUUUUACUGGUAUUACUUGAUUUUUUUACUGUGAUGUUAGCUGCUUCUGCUGUGCUGUUUUCAAUGUUUAAAAUGCAUUCAUUUCCGUAUUUUGAUACUGCAUUUUGUGCUACUAAUUUGUGCCAUUCUGAUCUGACCUCAAGUUCUAGGAGCAGCUAAGUGAAAUAAUAUUGUUUCUAAAUAUAUCUUUUCUUUUGAUGCUGACACAUGUUUCCACUGUUUGAUGGCCAGCUUAUGGUUAAAUAGAGGAUAAGCUUGUAUAAUUAGUAACUAGCAGCAUACCUGUUAGGGGGCACUUGCCUUCUGGAAAGAUAAUGUCGCAAGCUAUCUCCACUAUCUUAUACUGCAUAGGUACUAGGAUAUUUGACAUUUGCAGAAGCGAGUUUUUUUUUCUAGAGUAGUCUUCUAGCUGCAUAGGAGUAUGUUGACAUUGUGCUAACUUAGGCUGAUAUUUGCUUGCAUUGUUCUGUCCAUACUGCCUUAAUACUGUAUAUUAUGGCUGCAUAAUGGUAUUUUCGGAUUGACUCAUUUAUGCAUAAUGGUAUUAUCGUAAAUCAUAUUGCCUUAAUACAGAGGAUUGGCAUAAUGAUAUUUGCUUGUGGGAUAUGCUUGUAGCCAGUCCGUUCUGAUGAUUCCAAUAGGCUCUUUCUUAGGGUUGGAUCUCCUCAUGGUUUUCUUUUAAUUAAAUAAGUAUGUGGUGCAGACACUAAUUUAUAUGAAUAUAACCUAUCCAUAAUUGCUUCACUUCAAGUCUGGCACUGCCAUGUCUCUGUAUGCUUGAUAGUCUGUCUAAACCUUGGAGUAGCAGAUUGCCAUGGGUUGUUGUAUCGAUGAUGCUUAAGUAUGGGUAAGCUAAAUAGGGAUGCAAGUAGCAGAUUAUGCUAGAUUCUUGCACAGGGAAAAUUAUGUAGUAUUGUGGGGGUAACAAGUAGGUUCCUUUUUAAAGGUACACGUGAGCAUGCCUAUACUAUGCCAGAUGCUUGAUCAGUUCAAAAACAUUUGUGUGUGGGGGAGCUGUUUUAUUCUUGUUUAUUUAUCAGUUCAAACAGAUUGUCAUGAACAUGCUUGAUUGCCUUCGUUUGACAGAGAAACCAAUAGUAUAUAAAAUCAUGGGAAGAGGUCCCCAAACCAUGGUGUACUAUAGUGGGCCUUUGUACUCUGUAUCUAAUCAUCUAACCUUAGAUGCAGGCAUUAGUUUAUGUGUUGAUACCGUCAUACGCCGUUGUUUCAUAACAACGCCCAUCGGACAGAUAGAGAGUGACGACGACACUAGCUCACAUAUGAAGUGCAAAGGUUUUCUUCCUUCUUGCAUGUUGGUGUAAAGAGCAGGUAAACCUGCUUGCGCGAUGGUACAAGCAGCAGCAACAGAGCUUUUUUCAAAAUUCUUCGAAGAGGCCGCCACUAAAUGGCUCCAUGAAUAAAUGGGUGUGAAGUCUUGGAUUCUUGGUUUGCUCACAGGGAUUGUAUUCUCCUACUAGCCACAUGAUCAGCUAUAGUGAGCCUUUGUACUCUGUUUCUAAUCAUCUAACCUUAUAUGCAAGCAUUAGUUUAUGUGUUGAUACCGUCAUACGCCGUUGUUUCAUAACAACGCCCAUCAGACAGAUAGAGAGUGACGACGACACUAGCUCACAUAUGAAGUGCAAAGGUUUUCUUCCUUCUUGCAUGUUGGUGUAAAGAGCAGGUAAACCUGCUUGCGCGAUGGUACAAGCAGCAGCAACAGAGGUAUAGGGAAAUUUAUGCGUUCGUGUACUUUCUGUUAAUGGAAUUCUUUUCGAUAUACCAUGUUAUUUUUCUUGUAAAUAAUCAAUUGACCAUUUUUCAUACAAUUGCUAAAUGAAAUAGUUUUUGCCAUAGCUUUUUUCAAAACUCUUCGAAGAGGCCGCCACUAAAUGGCUCCAUGAAUAAAUGGGUGUGAAGUCUUGGAUUCUUGGUUUGCUCACAGGGAUUGUAUUCUCCUACUAGCCACAUGAUCAGGCUGUGGAGUACGGAGUUCACAAAAUCUAGGAGAUGAACAACCUUGGGGUAACCCUCUCACUGUCUCAUGCCAGCAGCCGCACCCACGCCCUGUUCCGUCUCGCACGCUCUCGCCAACUUGUGGUUGUCCAUCUGCCGCCAAGCACCCGGCCCCAGCAGUCGCACUGUCAGUGUUUUUUCUUUUACAACAAGCUUCUGUUCUGAAAUUAUAUUGUCUAUGAUUUGUAACUUGCUUGGUGGUAUCAACAAGCUUUUGUCUGGUCCUUGAUCGGGUAGGCGGUCGUGUUGUGCAUGGCGGACUUGAGACAAUUGAUGGUUUGUCCGAAGCAUUGGAAAUCUGAGAAUUGCUUCUGUGAAAAUUAUACGGAACAAGCAGACUGGGCACUCAGAAGGCUAUGGUUUUAUUGAGUUUUCCUCUCGAGCUGCUGCAGAACAUACUCGAUGAACUUCAAUGGGCAGAUGAUGCCGAAUGUUGAGAUGACUUUUAAGCUGAACUGAGCUUCUGCUAGCACUGGUGAUAAGCGUGGAGAUAGUGGUUCUAAUCACACAAUAUUUGUUGGUGAUUUGGCUCAUGGUGUUACUGACUCCAUGUUGGAAGAUGUGUUCAGGGCUAAGUACCCUUCAGUUAGAGGAGCUAAUGUUGUUGUUGAUAGGAUGACUGGAUGGCCCAAAGGAUAUGGUUUGGUGCGUUUUGGAGAUCUGAAUAAUGCAUUGUGAAGAUAUACAUUUGUGCUUAUUUGAUCUGAAAAGGGGACAACUUUUAGAUAUAGCAUAAUAGGAUAUGAAGAUGAAAGAUCUGUACUUAGGAAUUUGUUCAUUCACUUCGUAUGUUGGCACCUCAGUGUAUUAAGUGUUAAUGUUACAGUUAUUCUUGGAUCAACAUCAUUCGAGUAUUUGACUAUUGCUUGUCACGUGCACCUGUUAUUCUUGCAUCACUAUUUUGAACC